rnacentral:rRNA from 1 species
CCUACGGGGGGCUGCAGUGGGGAAUAUUGGACAAUGGGGGAAACCCUGAUCCAGCAAUGCCGCGUGUGUGAAGAAGGCCUUCGGGUUGUAAAGCACUUUCAGUGGGGAGGAAGGGGUAGUUGUUAAUACCAACUAUCAUUGACGUUACCCAAAGAAGAAGCACCGGCUAACUCUGUGCCAGCAGCCGCGGUAAUACAGAGGGUGCAAGCGUUAAUCGGAAUUACUGGGCGUAAAGCGUGUGUAGGUGGUUAUGUAAGUUAGAUGUGAAAUCCCCG